rnacentral:rRNA from 1 species
AUUGAACGUUGGCGGCAGGCUUUACACAUGCAAGUCGAACGGUAACAGGGUGCUUGCACCGCUGACGAGUGGCGAACGGGUGAGUAAUGCGUCGGAACGUGCCGAGUAGUGGGGGAUAACGCAGCGAAAGUUGUGCUAAUACCGCAUACGUACUGAGGUAGAAAGUGGGGGACCUUCGGGCCUCACGCUAUUCGAGCGGCCGACGUCUGAUUAGCUAGUAGGUGAGGUAAAGGCUCACCUAGGCGACGAUCAGUAGCGGGUCUGAGAGGAUGAUCCGCCACACUGGGACUGAGACACGGCCCAGACUCCUACGGGAGGCAGCAGUGGGGAAUUUUGGACAAUGGGCGAAAGCCUGAUCCAGCCAUGCCGCGUGUCUGAAGAAGGCCUUCGGGUUGUAAAGGACUUUUGUCAGGGAGGAAAUCCCUAGUGCUAAUAACACUGGGGGAUGACAGUACCUGAAGAAUAAGCACCGGCUAACUACGUGCCAGCGCCGCCGUAA